UUAUGCAUACCGAAGAAGGAAGGGGGAUUAGGGUUUAGAGACUUGCACAGUUUUAAUCUUGCUUUACUAGCAAAACAGUGAUGGCGACUAAUCCAGAAUCCGGAUUCUUUAUGUGCUCAAGUUCUGAAGGCAAAGUAUUACCCGGAUGGUGACAUUUUGAAUGCGGGGCCCAAGAAGGGCUCUUCUUAUACUUGGCAGAGCAUUGUGGCUGGCAUUCAGACUUUCAAGAGAGGUUGCAUUUGGCGUGUUGGAUCCGGAGCUAAUAUUGAUAUUUGGAAUGACCCCUAG
rnacentral:rRNA from 1 species